CCAGACACCAGGCGUCGCCCCCGCUCCUCGCAGAGCCAGGGCCCCCCGCCCCCGCCACAAGCUGGAGCCCGAGCGACAGCCGAGUAGGCGGCGGGACUGGCCGGACAAAUUUCCUGCUAGGCUGCGGGCGGCGGGCGGCGGGAGGCAGGAGGCGUCGCAAGCGGCGCCAGGACCCUGCUGCCUGCGUGCGUCCCCUCUACGUUCUCUCGCACCAGGCGGGGACCGCAGGGCCUCCCGGAGGGCGGCGGGUGGCCGCCUGGGAGAUGCGGAGCCGCGGCGGCGCGAUCGGCGCGACAGCACCGGCCCCCCCCGAGUGUGGCAGCCUGUCCAGAUGUGAUGCUCCUUUAAAGAUCAGGACACCUGGAUGCUUCUGAGUCCUGCCAGGACUUGACUGUGUGGAAAAAAAUAGGUCAGCAUGACUCAAAACUCAGGCCAAGUCCCCUGCAGUCCACGCAAAAGUGUUUAGAGCUCCCUUGCCAUGCUUGGAAGCUGGAGGUCACGUGUCAAAAGUAAUGAGCAUGCAGAGAAAUGAAAAGAGAGCCGCAACGUCGAGGAAGAUAUUUUAAGCAAAGGGAGCCAAGGAAUCAUACUCCAUCUGCUAGCAGUUGGAAUUUGUAAACAUCACCAGGAUAGAAGAAUAUUAAGGAAAUGAGGAAGCUGGGGCUUUUGUUAUUAUGCAUCAAUUUAAAAUAAAAUUUUUUUUUGGUACUGGGGAUUGAACUCUGGUCUUUGCGCUUGCACAGCAGGUAAAAUAAAACUUUUAAUACAAA
rnacentral:lncRNA from 1 species